GGAAUAUUGGGCAAUGGGCGAGAGCCUGACCCAGCCAUGCCGCGUGCCGGAUGAAGGCCUUCUGGGUUGUAAACGGCUUUUCUCAGGGAAGAAAAAGGUGAUGCGUCACAAACUGACGGUACCUGAGGAAUAAGCACCGGCUAACUCCGUGCCAGCAGCCGCGGUAAUACGGAGGGUGCAAGCGUUGUCCGGAUUUAUUGGGUUUAAAGGGUGCGUAGGCGGCCCGUUAAGUCCGGGGUGAAAGCCUCUUGCUCAACAAGAGAACUGCCCUGGAUACUGGCGGGCUUGAGUCCAGACGAGGUUGGCGGAAUGGAAGGUGUAGCGGUGAAAUGCAUAGAUACCUUCCAGAACCCCGAUUGCGUAGGCAGCUGACUAGGCUGGUACUGACGCUGAGGCACGAAAGCGUGGGGAGCGAACA
rnacentral:rRNA from 1 species